CUCCACUAACCCAUGUGCUAGUGACACCCGGAAGUGCAUCUUGUGCCCUUUCUGUGUGAUCCCAAACAAGGCAAGGAGACAGCUCAUGGUGAGAGGAAACUAAUCAAUAAUCAAUAAAUCUAGUGAUUGGAAAUCACAGAGAAUCCAUAGCCUGCACACAGACUGAAUGGAGAUAUUGGUUUAUUCACUAAACUUUGAAUUUGACAAAUUAAAGUCUAAGAAAAUAUCCAGCUCCAUUUUCAGGCUUGUGUUUUUCAAUUUCUUUAUCACAAGUCAUUGUUUAGUAAAUAAAAUUGUAUAGAUUUUAAUUUGCCAGGAAAGUUUAGAAAAACAUUAAAAAAAAUAAACUUAAAUAAUUAAGAAAUAACUAAAGCAGUAAAUUACAGAUUAAGAUUCUCUUUCCAGGGUAAUCUGGAAGAGUUAAAAUUUAAUAAUAUUUUAGUUUAGUUAUUAAACUGUAAAACCGAAAGAGAUCUUGAAAAUACUAAAAUUGUUGCAAUAGUUGGGAGAACUUUUUUAUUAAGUUAUUUGGCCAUAAUUCUGCAAUUCGUUGUUCAUUUCAUAACUAGUGAUGUCCCGAACGGUUCGCCACGGACAGCGAACAUAUGCGCCCCUAUGUCAUCAUUGAGUAUACUUUGACCCUGUACCUCACAGUCAGCAGACACAUUCCAGCCAAUCAGCAGCAGACCCUCCCUCCCAGAUCCUCCCACCUCCUGGACAGCUCACUAAGAAUGCAGCUUCACAAUGAAUGUAAAAUGGAUGCUGUCCAGGAGGUGGGAGGGUCUGCUGCUGAUUGGCUGGAAUGUGUCUGCUGACUGUGAGGUACAGGGUUAAAGUUUACUCAAUGAUGACAUAGGGGGCGGACCAAACAGCACAUAUGUUCGCCGUCUGCGGCAAACCGUUCGGGACAUCACUAUUCAUAACAUUAAACAGCCAUUAGUAACAAAGGAUACAGUACUAUACGCCACAUUUGGAUAAAUUGUAUCAUCUAUACCUAUAUAUUCACUGCUGAUUUACCUUGUAUUACAUAUAGGUUUAAUAGUUUUUUUUAUGCACUUGUCUUUAUAUUGCAGUUUGUCAAAUUCUCACCUUCUUGCUAUUUUUCUUUUACAAACCAAAAUAAGUAAAAUUUGUGAUGUAAAUGCGGAUGGCAUUGAGAGAGACCAGGUAUGGUAAUGAAAUUGCUCUCCUUUUUAUUUCCACCUACAGGUAUAUGAAAAUGUCUUUUCCAGUCCAACAACCUCAUAAUCGCACACGGAAGCCGGAUGAUGAGGAGGACCCUGUUGAUCAGAUGAUUGUUCGCACAGGAUGCGCAGCAGCUCAUUAUGCCGUGCAGGAGUGCAUGGCAGAGCACCAGGACUGGAGACAGUGUCAGCCACAAGUCCAGCAAUUUAAAGACUGCAUGCUGGACUAUCAGAAACAGAGGGCGGAAGAACUGAAGAAGCAGAUAAAAGCUUCAUAGGAACAAUCCAGUGGAAAACAUUGUAGAACAUUAAUGGACUUGGUCUUGUUCGUCUCUUGAAAUAUUGGGAUUAAGAACAUUUAUCUACAAUGGACGAUGCUUGAAACAAAUCUCUCUGUUUAGGUUUUGCAAAGUCCUGUUUAUUUUUUUACAAACAGUGGUUAGAGAUCUGUUCUCUCUCUCUCUCUCUCUGGUGUCUUAUAUAUGCUUACUAGGCAUUACAGAAAAGAAAGAGAAGUCUCACUUAUUGGUUCUGUACAUUGCAACCGGUCAUGUAACAUCUAUCUGAAAAAAAUUAAAUGUCAAUUUUAAGAACCCUAUUAGGAGUAAGAAGGUAAAUAUUACACCUAAUAGACAGUGAAUGGUAUAAAUGAGCCACAGCACUGUAGGGACAAUUGAGGCAAUUGCCAUGGUUGCAUGAAACUAUAUUUUCUACGGUGUUAUAGAAAAAUGGCUUAUAUUCAGUUAUUUGCAAAACCACAAAUUGUUGGGAAUUUACCAGAGAGUGAAUUGCAAAUAGCUGAGCCACAAAAAUAUUUUUAGAUUUGGCUUACAAUUUACAAUUCCUUGGUGAAUUCUAGUGAAGAACCCCAAUAGGUGACCAGCUCAGCACUAAAGUACCAUUUGUCCUUGUAGAGUUCAUGGAGAGGCUCAUUACUGGACCUGUGUUACAGUUAUACUAAUACAUUGAAUGGGGCGGGUUUUUUCAAUUACUGGAUUUUUUUAAGGAAAGUAAAACGUUGAGAAUACAAGGGACUUAUUCACUAAACCAGUAACUGAGGAGUUCGGACAAAGGAAUUUAGUUUAAUAACAGAGAUGGAAAAUGUAAAGUUGAAUAAAUUGACUAUUUUGACCUAAAAUAUGCAAUCUUUUUGUGUUUCUGCAAGAGUUUUUUGCUAAAUGCAAACUUUAGGGGCUAGUUGCAUAUCUCUGCAGGCUUGUUUUAUAAAUGUACUUAUUUAGUAACACCCCCUGGCAGUUUGAUGUGGAAACACUGAUUGGACACAAAUCAUCAUUAGUGAUGACUUAAAGAUACACUGUACGCACUCAGACCACUUUAGUUCUUUGAAAUGGCCUGUGUGCAGUGUCCAUAUCUCCUUAAC